rnacentral:lncRNA from 1 species
UUCCACCCUAGCUCCUGUCCCAGGGAAGCAGGCCAUGGGCUCCAGUUUCUCUGCGGUGUCAGCAGGAUGCAGAGUAAGCCCACUUCCACCAGGCAUCGAUGAUACAGAAUGAGGCAACGCGAGGUUGUGGAUGAGAGAGCUGCCCCAUGGCUGGGCUGUUUUUACGUAUACUGGCUGCUUACAGGAUAUCACGCUGCUGAAUGACGUGUACCUGAAGACCAGCAGAGGGUGGUGGAUGUGCCUCUGCCCACGCCGUGUAAAGAUGGCGGCAGAGCGGGCCCAACAGCACCCUUGGAGUCUACACAGGAAGAUAAAGUCAUGCAUGGCCAUUCUAACUGAUGUGAGAACUGAUGUCAGAUGUUAACACAGGAACAGAAAACCAAAUACCGUGUAUUGUCACUUAUAAGUGGGUGUGAAACCCUGAGUACGUGUGGACACAAAGAUGGGACCAAUAGACACAGAAGCCUACUUGAGGAGGUAGGGUGGGAGUAGGAUGAAGGUCCAAAAACUCCCUG